rnacentral:rRNA from 1 species
ACGCGAAAGGUUCCUUCGGGGACCGAGUAGAGUGGCGCCCGGGUGAGUAACACGUGGGUAAUUUGCCUUCGGGUGGGGAAUAACACCUCGAAAGAGGUGCUAAUACCGCAUAAUGCAGUGGCACCUUAUGGUGACAGUUGUUAAAGCGGGGGAUCGCAAGACCUCGCGCCUGAAGAGAAGCCCGCGGCGGAUUAGCUAGUUGGUGGGGUAAUGGCCCACCAAGGCAACGAUCCGUAGCCGGCCUGAGAGGGCGGUCGGCCACACUGACACUGACACACGGGUCAGACUCCUACGGGAGGCAGCAGUCGGGAAUUUUGGGCAAUGGGCGAAAGCCUGACCCAGCAACGCCGCGUGAAGGAUGAAGUUUCUCGGAAUGUAAACUUCACAAGAAUGGGAAGAAUAAGUGAGGGAUAAUACCCCUUACGAUGACGGUACCAUUUGUAAGCUCCGGCUAACUCCGUGCCAGCAGCCGCGGUAAUACGGGGGGAGCAAGCGUUGUUCGGAUUUACUGGGCGUAAAGGGCGCGUAGGCCGCGUGACAAGUCACUUGUGAAAUCUCCGGGCUUAACUCGGAGCGGCCAAGUGAUACUGUCGUGCUAGAGUGCGGAAGGGGCAACUGGAAUUCUCGGUGUAGCGGUGAAAUGCGUAGAUAUCGAGAGGAACACCUGCGGCGAAGGCGGGUUGCUGGGCCGACACUGACGCUGAGGCGCGAAAGCCAGGGGAGCG